rnacentral:rRNA from 1 species
GUUUNGNUNCGGGCUGNGNNANNGGUACCAANUCGUGGCAAACUCUGAAUACUAGAUAUGCUAUUUCUGGGCCAGUGAGACAGUGGGGGAUAAGCUUCAUUGUCAAGAGGGAAACAGCCCAGAUCACUAGCUAAGGCCCCAAAAUGAUCGUUAAGUGACAAAGGAGGUGAGAAUGCAGAAACAACCAGGAGGUUUGCUUAGAAGCAGCCACCCUUUAAAGAGUGCGUAAUAGCUCACUGGUGGAGCGUUCUUGCGCCGAAAAUGUCCGGGACUAAAUGAUCUGCCGAAGCUGUGGGAUAUUUCCAAGAGAAAUAUCGGUAGGGGAGCGUUCUGCUAUAGGGUGAAGCAUUGAUGUAAGUCAAUGUGGACGAAGCAGAAGUGAGAAUGUCGGCUUGAGUAACGCAAACAUUGGUGAGAAUCCAAUGCCCCGAAAACCUAAGGAUUCCUCCACUAGGUUCGUCCAUGGAGGGUGAGUCAGGACCUAAGGCGAGGCCGAAAGGCGUAGUCGAUGGCAAACAGGUUAAUAUUCCUGUACUACUUUAUGUCUGGUACCGAGGGACGGAGCAGGUAGAAAUUGGCCGAGAUUGGAUUUCGGUGGAAACUAUCAACACGUUGAGAGGUAGAAGAAAAACUAACCUUGAGUGGAGAAGUGAUACGUCUUUAUCUUUAAGAUAAAGAUUAAUUCCCUAUCANACUUCCAAGAAAAGCUCGAACUACUCUAAAACAUAAAGUACCUGUACCGUAAACCGACACAGGUGGGUUGGUAGAGUAUACCNAGGGGGCGCGAGAUAACUCUCUCUAAGGAACUCGGCAAANUGACCCCGUA